GGGGUUGUGGCUCAGUGGUAGAGCACUUAUCUUGCAUGCAGGAAGCACUGGUUCAAUUCUCAGCACCA
rnacentral:tRNA from 1 species